GAAUUUUGGACAAUGGGGGCAACCCUGAUCCAGCCAUCCCGCGUGUGCGAUGAAGGCCUUCGGGUUGUAAAGCACUUUUGGCAGGGAAGAAAAGGCUGUGGCUAAUACCUGGAGCUGCCGACGGUACCUGCCGAAAAAGCCACGCCUAACUACGUGCCAGCAGCCGCGGGAAUACGUAGGGUGCAAGCGUGAGUCGGAAUUACUGGGCGUAAAGCGUGCGCAGGCGGUUCGGCAAGAAGGAUGUGAAAUCCCAGGGCUUAACCUUGGAACUGCAUUCUUAACUGCCGGGCUAGAGUAUGUCAGAGGGGGGUAGAAUUCCGCGUGUAGCAGUGAAAUGCGUAGAGAUGCGGAGGAAUACCGAUGGCGAAGGCAGCCCCCUGGGAUGAUACUGACGCUCAUGCACGAAAGCGUGGGGAGCAAAC
rnacentral:rRNA from 1 species